AAACCAGCACCUCAAGUGGUCAGGAUGAUUAUUGGGCCUAAAGCAUCCGUAGCCGGCUCUGUAAGUUUUCGGUUAAAUCUGUACGCUCAACGUACAGGCUGCCGGAAAUACUGCAGAGCUAGGGAGUGGGAGAGGUAGACGGUACUCGGGAGGAAGGGGUAAAAUCCUUUGAUCUUUCGAUGACCACCUGUGGCGAAGGCGGUCUACCAGAACACGUUCGACGGUGAGGGAUGAAAGCUGGGGGAGCAAACCGGAUUAGAAACCCCGGUAGUCC
rnacentral:rRNA from 1 species